GCUCGUCUGAGCGAGUAAAAAACACAUUAGGCUCAGAGCGUCCCCCAUGCACUAAACUGCGUAGACGCUGGUGUUUGGGGGGGUUGAA
rnacentral:ribozyme from 1 species